UCGUGUCUGUAAUACACCAGGGAAGGGAAUAUGGCUUCUCUGACAUAUCUGCUUUGUGUUCUUUAUGUUUUCAUUCCAGGAUCCUGUGGAGAGAUUGUACUGACCCAAUAUCCAGAUUAUAUCUCUGUGUCCCCAGGAGAUACAGUCACCAUCUCAUGUACAUCUAGUUCUGGUAUACGCGGCUACUUACACUGGUACCAACAGAAACCAGGACAACGGCCAAAUCUUCUUAUAUCUUAUGCAACCACCAGACAUACAGGAGUCCCAGACCGGUUCACUGGAUCUGGAUCUGGAACACAUUUCACUCUUACAAUCAGAGGAGCGACAGAGGAUGAUGCCGCAUAUUAUCAAUGUCAGCAGAGUGCUCAGUUGCCUCUCACACAGUGA